rnacentral:rRNA from 2 species
UUGGAGGGCAAGUCUGGUGCCAGCAGCCGCGGUAAUUCCAGCUCCAAUAGCGUAUAUUAAAGUUGUUGCAGUUAAAAAGCUCGUAGUUGAACUUCAGACCUGACCGGGCGGUCCGCCUAACGGUGUGUACUGUCUGGCCGGGCCUUACCUCUUGGUGAGCCGGCAUGCCCUUCACUGGGUGUGUCGGGGAACCAGGACCUUUACCUUGAGAAAAUUAGAGUGUUCAAAGCAGGCUUACGCCGGAAUACAUUAGCAUGGAAUAAUAAAAUAGGACGUGCGG